rnacentral:rRNA from 1 species
UACGUAGGUGGCAAGCGUUGUCCGGAUUUAUUGGGUUUAAAGGGUGCGUAGGCGGUCCCAUAAGUCAGUGGUGAAAUACUCUAGCUUAACUAGAGGGGUGCCAUUGAUACUGUGGGACUUGAGUAGAGUUGAAGUGGGCGGAAUUGACGGUGUAGCGGUGAAAUGCUUAGAUAUCGUCAAGAACACCGAUGGUGAAGACAGCUCACUAAGCUCAAACUGACGCUGAGGCACGAAAGUGUGGGGAUCAAACAGG